rnacentral:rRNA from 1 species
GACGAACGCUGGCGGCGUGCUUAACACAUGCAAGUCGAGCGGUAAGGCCCUUUCGGGGGUACGACGAGCGGCGAACGGGUGAGUAACACGUGGGUGACCUGCCCUCAGCUCUGGGAUAAGCCUGGGAAACUGGGUCUAAUACUGGAUAUGACUCCACGGUGCAUGUCGUGGGGUGGAAAGCCUUGUGCGGCUGAGGAUGGGCCCGCGGCCUAUCAGCUUGUUGGG